rnacentral:rRNA from 1 species
AGACCCGAAACCCGGUGAUCUAGCCAUGGGCAGGUUGAAGGUUGGGUAACACUAACUGGAGGACCGAACCGACUAAUGUUGAAAAAUUAGCGGAUGACCUGUGGCUGGGGGUGAAAGGCCAAUCAAACCGGGAGAUAGCUGGUUCUCCCCGAAAGCUAUUUAGGUAGCGCCUCGUGAAUUCAUCUCCGGGGGUAGAGCACUGUUUCGGCUAGGGGGCCAUCCCGGCUUACCAACCCGAUGCAAACUGCGAAUACCGGAGAAUGUUAUCACGGGAGACACACGGCGGGUGCUAACGUCCGUCGUGAAGAGGGAAACAACCCAGACCGCCAGCUAAGGUCCCAAAGUCAUGGUUAAGUGGGAAACGAUGUGGGAAGGCCCAGACAGCCAGGAUGUUGGCUUAGAAGCAGCCAUCAUUUAAAGAAAGCGUAAUAGCUCACUGGUCGAGUCGGCCUGCGCGGAAGAUGUAACGGGGCUAAACCAUGCACCGAAGCUGCGGCAGCGACGCUGAUGCGUUGUUGGGUAGGGGAGCGUUCUGUAAGCCUGUGAAGGUGUGUCGUGAGGCAUGCUGGAGGUAUCAGAAGUGCGAAUGCUGACAUAAG